rnacentral:rRNA from 1 species
GGCCUACGGGACGCAGCAGUAGGGAAUCUUCCACAAUGGACGAAAGUCUGAUGGAGCAACGCCGCGUGAGUGAAGAAGGGUUUCGGCUCGUAAAGCUCUGUUGGUAGUGGAGAAAGAUAGAGGUAGUAACUGGCCUUUAUUUGACGGUAAUUACUUAGAAAGUCACGGCUAACUACGUGCCAGCAGCCGCGGUAAUACGUAGGUGGCAAGCGUUAUCCGGAUUUAUUGGGCGUAAAGCGAGUGCAGGCGGGU